ACCACUCACUGAUCUAUAUAAAUGACAUUUAAAAUUCUCAGCUCUCAGGUUCUGUCCAUUUUAUUACAAAAUUCAGACAAUACCGUUUUGGCGUUAGAAAAUGUGACGUGACAGAUCGCUUUAGCGCCUCAGUUCAAGUAAACCGAUCAUCUGUUACUUUCUGUUUAAAGAUACAGUACAACUUACCGAAAUGUAUAUAUGCCUCAUAUAUAAUAUCGACAGUUCAUCAAUCAAAACAGCAGGAGAACAAUUAUGUCACAGAAGGUUACAUUUACCUCAAGAAAGCCAUUUAAAAACCAUAGCAGGUUAGUUGAGAAAAAUAGCCAUAAGAAAGGAGCAUUUUGCUAAAUAUGUGCACUAUAGUACAUAUUUAUUAUACUUUCACCUUAGCUAUUUUACAUUUGAUUAUGCAAUAUCUGUACCUGAAAACGGUGCUAUUUAUGGUAAUGUUUUCUUAUUUUAUUACUGACUGUUCACUUGUCUUCAUUAAUGUUUGAACUUAAUAGUUAGUGUUUAUUGUGGUAUUGAAAUUGGAAUUGUGAAAUUAUAGUGCAGCUUAUUUACAAAGAAAACAAUAGCAAUAUUAUUUUUAUUUAUGUAUUUAUUUUUGGCAGGGCAAGUACAGUUUUGAACCCUAGCAUUGAGCUCUGCAUU